rnacentral:rRNA from 1 species
CAGUAGCCACGGUAAUACGAGGGGGGCAAGCGUUGUUCGGAAUUAUUGGGCGUAAAGGGCGCGUAGGCGGUUUGGCAAGUUUGGUGUGAAAUCUUCGGGCUCAACUCGAAGUCUGCAUCGAAAACUGCCGGGCUUGAGUAUGGGAGAGGUGAGUGGAAUUUCCGGUGUAGCGGUGAAAUGCGUAGAUAUCGGAAGGAACACCUGUGGCGAAAGCGGCUCACUGGACCAUUACUGACGCUGAGGCGCGAAAGCUAGGGGAGCAAACAGGAUUAGAUACCCCCGUAGUCCCUGUCUCUUAUAC